rnacentral:rRNA from 1 species
CCAGACUCCUACGGGAGGCAGCAGUGGGGAAUAUUGCACAAUGGGCGCAAGCCUGAUGCAGCAACGCCGCGUGAGCGAAGAAGGUCUUCGGAUCGUAAAGCUCUGUCCUUGAGGAAGAAGGAAGUGACGGUACUCAAGGAGGAAGCCCCGGCUAACUACGUGCCAGCAGCCGCGGUAAUACGUAGGGGGCAAGCGUUAUCCGGAAUUAUUGGGCGUAAAGAGUACGUAGGUGGUUUUGUAAGCGCGGGGUGAAAGGCAGUGGCUUAACCAUUGUAAGCCUUGCGAACUGCAAGACUUGAGUGCAGGAGAGGAAAGCGGAAUUCCUAGUGUAGCGGUGAAAUGCGUAGAUAUCAGGAGGAACACCGGCGGCGAAGGCGGCCUGCUGGACCGUGACUGACGUUGAGGCUCGAGAGCGUGGGGAGCAAACAGGAUUAGAUACCCCCGUAC